rnacentral:rRNA from 1 species
CAGUCAUGCUAAUAGGGGAAUCAACUUGAUGGAUCGUUCCCCCCGGGAGCGAUCUUUCUUGUGCACUUCCUUGUUUGGCAAGUUAGCAUCAAUUUCGGUUGUCAUUAAAAAAAUUGAGGGAAUGUGACUUCUUUCGGGAAGUGCUAUAGACCUUGAUAUAUGUGAUGGUCGGGAUUGAGGAUUGCAGCGGAUGCUUUUGGGCUAGUCACCUACCUUCUG